rnacentral:rRNA from 1 species
UACGGGGGGAGCAAGCGUUGUUCGGAUUUACUGGGCGUAAAGGGCGCGGUAGGCGGUCGUGACAAGUCACUUGUGAAAUCUCCGGGCUUAACUCGGAACGGUCAAGUGAUACUGUCGGACUAGAGUACAGAAGGGCAACUGGAAUUCUCGGUGUAGCGGUGAAAUGGCGUAGAUAUCAGAGGGAACACCUGCGGCGAAGGCGGGUUGCUGGGCUGAUA